UCCCCUGUAGCUCAGUUGGUAGAGCAGGUGACUGUUAAUCACCGGGUCGCAAGUUCGAGUCUUGCCGGGGGAGCAA
rnacentral:tRNA from 1 species